ACGCUGGCGGCAGGCCUAACACAUGCAAGUCGAACGGUAACAGGAAGAAGCUUGCUUCUUUGCUGACGAGUGGCGGACGGGUGAGUAAUGUCUGGGAAACUGCCUGAUGGAGGGGGAUAACUACUGGAAACGGUAGCUAAUACCGCAUAACGUCGCAAGACCAAAGAGGGGGACCUUCGGGCCUCUUGCCAUCGGAUGUGCCCAGAUGGGAUUAGCUUGUUGGUGGGGUAACGGCUCACCAAGGCGACGAUCCCUAGCUGGUCUGAGAGGAUGACCAGCCACACUGGAACUGAGACACGGUCCAGACUCCUACGGGAGGCAGCAGUGGGGAAUAUUGCACAAUGGGCGCAAGCCUGAUGCAGCCAUGCCGCGUGUAUGAAGAAGGCCUUCGGGUUGUAAAGUACUUUCAGCGGGGAGGAAGGGAGUAAAGUUAAUACCUUUGCUCAUUGACGUUACCCGCAGAAGAAGCACCGGCUAACUUCGUGCCAGCAGCCGCGGUAAUACGGAGGGUGCAAGCGUUAAUCGGAAUUACUGGGCGUAAAGCGCACGCAGGCGGUUUGUUAAGUCAGAUGUGAAAUCCCCGGGCUCAACCUGGGAACUGCAUCUGAUACUGGCAAGCUUGAGUCUCGUAGAGGGGGGUAGAAUUCCAGGUGUAGCGGUGAAAUGCGUAGAGAUCUGGAGGAAUACCGGUGGCGAAGGCGGCCCCCUGGACGAAGACUGACGCUCAGGUGCGAAAGCGUGGGGGGCAAACAGGAUUAGAUACCCUGGUAGUCCACGCCGUAAACGAUGUCGACUUGGAGGUUGUGCCCUUGAGGCGUGGCUUCCGGAGCUAACGCGUUAAGUCGACCGCCUGGGGAGUACGGCCGCAAGGUUAAAACUCAAAUGAAUUGACGGGGGCCCGCACAAGCGGUGGAGCAUGUGGUUUAAUUCGAUGCAACGCGAAGAACCUUACCUGGUCUUGACAUCCACAGAACUUUCCAGAGAUGGAUUGGUGCCUUCGGGAACUGUGAGACAGGUGCUGCAUGGCUGUCGUCAGCUCGUGUUGUGAAAUGUUGGGUUAAGUCCCGCAACGAGCGCAACCCUUAUCCUUUGUUGCCAGCGGUCCGGCCGGGAACUCAAAGGAGACUGCCAGUGAUAAACUGGAGGAAGGUGGGGAUGACGUCAAGUCAUCAUGGCCCUUACGACCAGGGCUACACACGUGCUACAAUGGCGCAUACAAAGAGAAGCGACCUCGCGAGAGCAAGCGGACCUCAUAAAGUGCGUCGUAGUCCGGAUUGGAGUCUGCAACUCGACUCCAUGAAGUCGGAAUCGCUAGUAAUCGUGGAUCAGAAUGCCACGGUGAAUACGUUCCCGGGCCUUGUACACACCGCCCGUCACACCAUGGGAGUGGGUUGCAAAAGAAGUAGGUAGCUUAACCUUCGGGAGGGCGCUUACCACUUUGUGAUUCAUGACUGAG
rnacentral:rRNA from 1 species